UGAAGCUGGAAUUGCUAGUAAUGGCAGGUCAGCAUACUGCCGUGAAUACGUUCCCGGGCCUUGUACACACCGCCCGUCACACCAUGAGAGUUGGGAAUACCCGAAGCCUGUGAGCUAACUUUUAGAGGCAGCAGUCGAAGGUAGAAUCAAUGAUUGGGGUGAAGUCGUAACAAGGUAUC
rnacentral:rRNA from 1 species